rnacentral:lncRNA from 1 species
CCAAGACCUGUCUACUAAUGCUUAAUUGAAUAUCGACUGAUAGUUUGUUGAGAAUCAACUGAUAGUCAACUAUUUUCUCUGUUUUGCUCUGUUAAUAGUGUGUAGACACUAAACUGUUUUCACUUUAAUUUGACAGUCCUAAGACCUCUCUACUAAUGCUUAGUUGAAUAUUGACUGAUAGUUUGUCGACAGUCAUAUGACAAUGAACAGGUUGUCACCUACACAGGGUGCCUAUUGAUUCAUAAAAUAUUCUCAUCUUUAUUUUGCAAUGAACAUAUAUGAUCAACAGAGGGUUGAAUGUUCAUUCAUUAGAUGUGUUCCUUGUGAGUGGAGGAAAGUUGAUCCAUAUGAAACGUAAGUUGAGAAUUGGUUAAUAACAGCAGUUGAUAGUCAACUUACUAGAAGUUGACACUCAACUGAUAGUUGAAUAUUUGUAAAGAACAUGUAGUUAAAAGCACAAUGUCUGUUGCAGACUGUUUUUGUAAAAAUAAAUGAACAAAAUAAAAAUAUACUAUAGUUAACUAACACUUAGUUGAAUGCAUGUUACAUAUUUGUUGACAAGCUCUGUAGAGUAUCCAGGCGCGUCGUUAGCAAUUGAAAACAUCCGGGGCUUUAGCCCGGGGGGGGAGCACCGUCCUGACUCCUGCGUGCUACGGUAUCUUAAUUAAUUAAAUAAUUAAUUAAUGAAUUAAUGUAUCGAUUAAUUAAUUAAGGGCGCCCCCAACACAUAGGUCGCCUAUGCCGAGCGCCAGGGCAAAAAUAAGACAUUAGAAUAGCCUAUAUAGCCUGCGUGCACCUACCCGAUGUCAAGAAGCCAUCGCUGCUCCGACGGACCUUUCUCCCCCAGCCAGGCAACGGCAAUUAACUACAGCCGCCCUUCCUGGGUAACGCCACCACCAAUCCCUGGUCAUCCAUUGAAGCCAUCUCUCUCACUCUGCACAGUCACACUGUUAUCGCUUCAUUCUCAUUGUCUCAUAAUCUCAUUAUUAUGGCUGCUGUGGAUGCUUUAAAAAAAAAAAAAAAUUAUCUUAGGUAAAAUCAAACCAGUGGGAUUUUAGAUUGAAAACCUCCAAAGCAAUGUAUUAAAAAUCGAAAGACAGUCCUAUGUGAAGUUUCUUUUUUGGGGAUUUUCAAAAUGAGGUACCAGAAUGGAUUGUCAACCCACUGUUUCUCAACCCUCUCCGAUUAUUACUAUGAGUAGUAGUAUUGCAUGCAUACAGUACUCACAUCAGCGCCACAGUAAGCCUAUAGAGGCUGCAACCAUUUGCUUCUCAAAAGAUUGUAGUGUUUUAGAAUGAACAACCAGAGGGACAAGACAAGACUAAUUUUGAUUGACAAGUUGGCUAGAUUUAUAUAUGUAUUUAUAUUAUUUUUUUAUUUAUAAGAAUGAAAGAAAUUGUGUAAUGAAAGAAUAAAACAAUGAUUGAUGCAUUUUUGUUUGAAUAACAUCUUGCUCCCGCGGCCAGUGCCAGCGCCGGCAUUGCAAGGGGAGGGAUAUUACGUACAUUUGCAGGAGGCGGGAUAAGUGCGGCCGCUGUCACUCAGAUUUGU